GGGGGGGGGGGGGGGCGGGGGGGGGGGGGGCGGGUGGGGGGGGGGGGGCGGGCUUGUGGGGGGUGGUCGGGUGGGGGACGGGUGAGUAGCACGUGAGUAAGCUGCCCUUGACUUUGGGGUAGCUUCAGGGAAGUGGGGCUAAUACCGGAUCGGAGAUCCUGCUGCAUGGUGGUGGUUGGCAAGUUUCGGCGGGUGUGGAUGGACUCGCGGCUUAUCAGCUUGUCUGUGGGGUAGUGUCUUACCAAGGCUUUGACGGGUAGACGGCCUGAGAGGGUGACCGGCCACAUUGGGACUGAGAUACGGCCCAGACUCCUACGGGAGGCAGCAGUGGGGAAUAUUGCACAAUGGGCGGAAGCCUGAUGCAGCAACGCCGCGUGCGGGAUGACGGCCUUCGGGUUGUAAACCGCUUUCGCCUGUGACGAAGCGUGAGUGACGGUAAUGGGUAAAGAAGCACCGGCUAACUACGUG
rnacentral:rRNA from 1 species